GCAGCAGCAGCAACAUUGCACGCCCGGUGGGUGCCCGAGGCCCCAGAGGAAAGCGAGAGGGCUGCCGGGGCAGCGCAGCGACUUGGCGUUGCCACGGCGCUCCUGUGCGCGUCCCUAGCAGCCGCCCGCCCACGUCAAGGUUUGUUUAAUAAUCGCUUGGGUAUUUAUGGCCUGGGCUCACGGAGGCCGCGGGGGAGCCAGGAGACCGCGCCGGGCAGCGGAUGAAGCGCGGCGGCUGUGGCCCAGGGCACCUCCCCCCGGCUUCCCGAACCCUGCCCGGUCCCACCCGAGGGGGAGGAUGGAAACAUCGGCCGCGCUCUGAGCCCCGCAGAAAGACAACAUCCUGCCCGCCUAAACACCCCGCGGUCCUGCGGAGGCCACCGACUUGUCCCCUCCACGUCUCCAUCUCCUACAUCCGGGCCGAGCGGAAAAGCGAGAGAUGGCGGAAAAUCUAAGGAAACUGAUCUCCAACGAAUCUUUACGAUCGAUGCACGACAACCUGGAGCGCUGGCUGAGGGAGUACAAUACAAACUCGUGUGAUCAAAACCUAAGUCUUUGCCUUGAAUUCAUCGAACAAGUUGCCAGGGUACAGGGACAACUCUUUGGAAUCCUCACUAUAACAGCUCAAGAAGGAGGACAUUAUGAUGGUGUGCAAGUAAUCAAAUCGCGCCUUCUGCCGUGGCUGGAGGCCUCCUUCACUGCUGCUUCCAUGGGAAAACCUGUUGACAGCAAGGUCCCCUCUCUGCAGGACACGUUUGAUAAGGAAAGACAGAAGGAGUCUGGUGCUCGGGAUCGGGACUUGCAGCAGUUAGACUCGGAGCUGAGCGAGACUCGCAGCCAACUCAACCAGGUUCAAGACGAUCUGGCUGAAAGCGCAAAGCCUCUUGAAGCAACCAAGAACAGAUCGGCCAUAUCCCUUUUGGCUGCAGAGGAGGAAAUAAAUCAGCUAAAAAAGCAGCUUAAAUCUCUUCAAGCCCAGGAGGAGUCCCGCCACAGAAAUGCAGCGAAUAGGAUCUCUGCGCGUAGGACUGCAGAGCUGCGCGCUGAGCCUAGGACCUCUGAGCAGAGAAGAACGAAGGAUCUCGGCUCGGACAAGCGCGGUUUGGACCGGUCAGACAGGCGCAUCUCGGACAGGUCGGACAGGCGCAUCUCGGAAAGGUCGGACAAGCGGGGCUCGGACAGCUCCGACAGGCGCAGCUCCGACAAGUCUGACUCAGAAGUGAUAUCUGAUUAUGAGAAACAGCUCCGAACGCUGAAGGACGAGAUCGCUGUUCUGUCUGCUGAAAAAUCUGUACUCCAAGGAAGGUCCACCAGGAGCCGGUCUCCAAGUCCUGUCCCUCGCAGCCGCAGCCACAGCCGCAGCCACAGCCGCAGCCGUACCCGCAGCCGCAGCCGCACCCGCAGCCGCAGCCGCAGCCCAAGCCGCAGUCGCAGCCGCAGCCGCAGCCGCAGCCGCAGCCACAGCCGGCCAGGCAGCCCCUCCACCGCAGUGGUAAAGGUCAGGACCCCGUCUCCAAAUCGCGCCAAACUAUCCAGUGCAGCGCGCAAGGCUGCCCUCGUGUCCCGGUUCAGCGAUGCCUACUCCCAGGCCCGCCUGGACGCGCAGUGCCUGCUGCGGCAAUGCAUCGACAAGGCCGAGACGGUGCAGCGGAUCAUCUACAUCGCCACAGUGGAGGCAUUCCAUGUAGCUAAAAUGGCGUUCAGACACUUCAAGAUCCGUGUGAGGAAAUCUUUGACACCAUCUUAUGUAGGGUCGAAUGAUUUUGAUGACGCCGUCUCGGAUUACAUCAUUUGCCACCUUGACCUAUAUGAUUCCCAAAGCAGUGUCAACGAUGUAAUCCGAGCCAUGAAUGUCAAUCCCAAGAUUUCGUUCCCUCCAGAAGUCGACUUUUGCCUCCUCAGUAACUUCAUCCAGGAGAUAUGCUGCAUCGCCUUUGCAAUGCAGACUUUAGAGCCGCCCCUAGAUAUCGCGUUUGGGGCCGAUGGAGAAGUUUUUAACGAUUCCAAGUACCGCCGCAGCUACGACUCCGAUUUCAGUGCUCCCUUGGUCUUCUAUCACGUGUGGCCUGCCCUCAUGGAGAAUGACAUUGUCAUUAUGAAGGGAGAAGCUGUCACCAGGAGAGGGGCUUUUGUACGGUGGCCUUGCAUAGUGACAAUUCAUCCCAAGUGUUUGAUUCACAAUGGAAUUCGGUGAGACCCGUGAGCCGAUGUCGAAGCCGGAGCUUAAGUCCCAUCUACCCCCGUAGCCAUAUUGGUUUAAGCACGCUGCCUCGAAGUCGGAGCCCUUCCCCGAUAAGAUGUGGAUUGCCAAGGUUUUAAAGCCACCAGACAGGUUCCUCUGCCACAGCACACUUGCGACAGCCCGACAGCCCGACAGCCCGCCUCCUGGCCCAUCUGCCUGCUGCGUCUGCCUCUCGCCUCGCUUAAGAUAAUGUGAAAAGGCAAUUCUGUGUACCACUCCACGCAGAGAGUUAAAUGCUUUGGCUUAACGCAUUUGUAACUUCAGAUAUAUUGCAUUUGAUUUUACUUUAUAGAUACAAAUUCCAUUAAUUUGAUAAAAGCCAUUGCCCAGGUGUUUAGGGUCACGUUCGUUCGAAGCAGAGUCCACCAGCCAAGCGCUAGGCCCUUUCAGGGCAACCGUGUGAACUACAAUGGGAAACGACCAUGCUGAGUCCGAAACUCGAGAGGAGAAAUUUUAGUUCACAAAUUGAUUGUAAACAUUACAAUUGAUGAUACCAUCAAUUAGUUUUAACGUGAAAAUGACAUGGGGUGUUUUAAUUGGCUCUUGUGGUGUGGAGGACAGCGCUAAUCUCGGGUUGGGAAUCUGUCGCAGUGAUGGUGACGUCAGGCUAAAUGGAGAUGAUGAUGAUGUAAGAGACUGUGGGUCAUCGGCUCGCUUCUGUUCUCCUCCUUGGAGCACCCGGUUGGUUUCGCUGAGUACUGCGUGUUGAAGCUGCCGAGGUGAGAGAAUUCUCUUGCUUCAUGAAUGUGGAGCAGUGGUUUGGGUAGAAGCCAGCGUUGAGAUAAAUGCUCAUUACCUUGCGUUUAUCUCUUGGGGAUGUUUCAUACAGUGUCAAUAUACUUGUUAUGAAUAAGAGUUAUCUGGAGCUGCCCUUUUACCUACUCCACCUACUUGUUUACAAAUUCGGGCCUCCUCUGACGUGCGUCUGCACAAAAACACCUGAACUCAAGGCCUAAAACUAGGGGCACCAUUUAUUGAUGUUUAAGUUGAGCACGUAUCCCUUCAUUUUCCUCACUGUCCUUGAACUCUUGUAAGUUCAAGAUAAUCAUGGAAUGUGGUUUUCUCAAGAUAAGUAGUAGUCUUUUUUGCUUUUUUUUUUUUUUAAACUUUGAAGCUGGCCUUAAACACGGCCUUACUAAGGACUGCUGUCCAUGUGCCUUUUUAGAAAACUCUGAGUGGCCAGAGCUCAGUUCGCAUCAGCUCUGUGCCAAAGCCGGCACCGGAGGCUUUUCAGGAGGAAAACCCCCCAAAUUUCUCUAAAACGUCUUGUCCCUAGAGACGAGGGAGAGGAGACUGCCUCAGUCCCUGCCCCUUGGGUCUAAUGGUCGCCAUGUCACUCUGAAGUGUGAAGUCGGUUUUCCCCUCCCUGUGUGUUUACGUAGUGACCACUCUGAGGCAAUGGCUGCAUUGUCAGGAGAACGGGGUGCCCGGGUAACCCCAGUCUCGGUUGGUUGUUAGCUUGCUUUGUGGCCUGAAGCAAAUGACUUCACCUCUCUGAGCCUUUGCUCACAGUAGAGAGAGAAGGCUGGGUGGAAUCAGUGGUUCUUCCGGCCCUCCCAGCGUCAGUGCCCCUUUCUUACACAGUUAUUUUAUUCUGGCUUUUCUGAAAUGAAACUCAAAAUGCAAAUAUUGAUUUAUAGUACAUACACCCUUUCAAACAAUGGAUAAGAGUACCCUCACUGUAAUACAAAGCAGAAAAAAUGAAAGUCACUGUUUAAUAAAAUAAAACGCAUUUUGAUAAAGAAGCUUGGGUGUAACCACCCUAGAAGACGAAAUCAAGUCACCGGAUGCCUUCGCCUGUGUGCAGAGUCACCUUCACUCACAGUGUUGUCGUGGGGGAUGAUUUCCUGAAAUGGUGGGUAGCUCUUGGUGACGUUUUGGACCAAAAUCUUACAGAUGGGCCCUCAUUUACACAGUAAAUGCAUUCCUGGAGUAGUCAGCGUAUAUUAAAACCGUGCAGCAAUUACUUUGCAUUGUAUGGUGAAAGGUCAUUUCUCAAGUCUCACUAAGUAAAGAGAAUGCUUACAUAUGAGAUUUUCUUCCUUUUUUCUUUUUUUUUUUUUAUUUGAAUGUGGAAAUGCAUAGCCUGAUUUGGGAAAAGGUCACCUGUAUUCAGUUUAUUUGCUCUGCACCCUGUCUGGCCACGAGCUGUUUCUCAAGUCUCUGAUUUGAACUGUAACCACAGCAGGGAGUGGUGAGUGCUCUAGAAUAACUUUCAGAAAGAAUCCACAAAAACAAAGGAGACUGCCUGUACUCAUUUCACCCAGGUAUGCACCUUAAUCUUAGUGACUUUGAAGAAUGAAAAGCUCUUACUUCACAAUCUGGGUAAAUUAUGGCUUCUGUAUUAUCGGUUUAAUAUCAAAUAAUAA